GGUUGGUCCGAGUGCAGUGGUGUUUACAACUAAUUGAUCACAACCAGUUACAGAUUCCUUUGUUCCUUCUCCACUCCCACUGCUCCACUUGACUAGCCUUUA
rnacentral:Y_RNA from 1 species